CCUACGGGUGGCAGCAGUGGGGAAUAUUGGGCAAUGGACGCAAGUCUGACCCAGCAACGCCGCGUGAAGGAAGAAGGCUUUCGGGUUGUAAACUUUUUUUAAGGGGGAAGAGCAGAAGACGGUGCCCCUUGAAUAAGCCACGGCUAACUACGUGCCAGCAGCCGCGGUAAUGCGGGGGGGGCCAGCGUUGUGCGGAUUUACUGGGUGUAAAGGGCGUGCAGGCGGAGAGAAAAGUGAGGUGUGAAAUCCACGGGCUCAACCCGUGAAUGGCGUUUGAAACUGUUUCCCUUGAGUGUCGGAGAGGUAAUCGGAAUUCCUGGUGUAGCGGUGAAAUGCAUAGAUAUCACACAGAACACCGAUUGCGAAGGCAGCUCACGAAGCCGCGAUUGACGCUGAUGCACGAAAGCGUGGGUAUCAAACAGGAUUAGAUACCCUAGUAGUC
rnacentral:rRNA from 1 species